GUUCACGGUUAUUGAAACAAAGGAUAUAAGGCUCAAAUUUGAUUUUAACUCACCCCUUCUUUAUGAUGUUCUUCAAUCCUAUGUUCAGUUAAUUCAACAUACACUUUCGUCCUUCAAGAGAGUCUAACGAUGUAAGAAUGCAGAUGAUGAUUAAGGUUCGCUUGAAAUGGCAGUCAUCUUAUUCUGCAUGAAUGCCAGUGACCUUUAGAUUCCUGAUAUGGCGAUCACCUUAUUUUUCUUUGUCUUUUAUGGAGGAUUUAACUACCUCUUUUGAUUUCUU
rnacentral:lncRNA from 1 species